rnacentral:rRNA from 1 species
GACGAACGCUGGCGGCGUGCCUAACACAUGCAAGUCGAGCGGAGUCAGCAAGAUGAAGUUUUCGGAUGGAAUCUUGUUGAUUUAGCGGCGGACGGGUGAGUAACGCGUGAGCGACCAACCUUGCACAGGGGGAUAACGGACCGAAAGGUUCACUAAUACCGCAUGAGACCACGGUGUUGCAUGACACAGGGGUCAAAGGAGGAAUCCGGUGCAAGACGGGCUCGCGUCCGAUUAGGUAGUUGGAGGGGUAACGGCCCACCAAGCCUAUGAUCGGUAGCCGACCUGAGAGGGUGAUCGGCCACAUUGGAACUGAGAUACGGUCCAAACUCCUACGGGAGGCAGCAGUGGGGAAUAUUGGGCAAUGGGGGAAACCCUGACCCAGCAACGCCGCGUGAAGGAAGAAGGUUUUCGGAUUGUAAACUUCUGUCCUUGGUGAAGAGAAGAAGACGGUAGCCAAGGAGGAAGCCCCGGCUAACUACGUG